UACGUAGGGAGCAAGCGUUGUCCGGAAUUAUUGGGCGUAAAGCGCGCGCAGGCGGAUCAGUCAGUCGGACUUAAAAGUUCGGGGCUUAACUAGGGGAUGCGUUUGAAACUGCUGAGCUAGAGUAUUGGAGAGGAAAGUGGAAUUCCUAGUGUAGCGGUGAAAUGCGUAGAUAUUAGGAAGAACACCAGUGGCGAAGGCGACUUUCUGGACGAAAACUGACGCUGAGGUACGAAAGCCAGGGGAGCAAACAGG
rnacentral:rRNA from 1 species